ACCCAGCCCGCCUCUGCCCAGUUGAAGCAAUAUGCCAAGCUCGCCGUCCAGCUCUCCGUCAAUGUUGCUUUCGUGGUUAUCGCCCAGCGACGAGGGCGACGCCGACGUGGACCCAGAAAUAUCCUAUGACGUUGCUUAAUAAGGAGGAGUCACGGCCUAAGGGGGUGAGGUAGGCAGUAUUGCAGCAUGGGAAAUCCAAGGGGAUCAACCGACGUUGUGGACUUCCUCGAGUUGAGAUCCAGCCCCAAGUUACAUGGUAUAUGCAGAGUUCUAAACUCAUAUAUUGGUUGUACAACACACCCAUGACACCACAAAGCAGUGUUAGUACCAUUUUAAAUCCCAAGUACGGCGACGCUGAGUCUCAUGCUCCAGAAGUUCAAGAUUCCCAAAGUAGAAUGUGGUAACAGAAUCACACAGGUGGCCUACUACCCGUCCCCAUCGCGCAAGUGCCCACUACAUGUCCCCGGCCUGCAGGUGUUUGCUGCCUACUUCGACCUCUAUUCCUGAAGCCAAGGUCGCUGGUCGCCUCUCCCCAAGUGCUACCGACCUCUCCCUUCCCGUGACGAGUUGCACCAAUUCAGACAAGUAAUGCAAGCAAGGGCAUGCCAUAACAAAUCACCAGCCUGUAACAAAAAACAGGCAUGCCAUUUGUGUUUCCUCAAUGAAUUCUUUGUGUAGGAUAUUAAGAAUUUUUCAGUUUAUCUAAACUUCAUUACUUUGUAUCUUUCUUUCUACCCAUCUUUGCCUUGGGCAAAUUCUGUAGAUAUUCUACCUGCUUAAUUCAUCAAGGCUAGCAAUUGUUGAUCGUAAAAAAAAAUCACUGGCUGAUGAGGUUGUUUCACUUUAAUUUCUGAAUAAGUUGUUCAAUAUGAAAUUAUUUCUGUUGUGCUACAAGUUUACCUACCAGAUAUAUUCUGAAUAAUAUGGAGCUCAAGAACAAUGUUAAGUCUCACAUGUGAGUAUGUAGGUACUCAUAUCUCAUGGGUGAUAUGCUUUAGACGGAAAACUGGUGUGUCUCUAUAAGAAAAUAAAACUAGAUGUUUGGGUAUAUCUCCAGGGAAUGUCACAUCUCCCCUGUAGGUACAAGAGAAGUUAACUUUGAAUCUGUGUAAUCUGCAUCUGAAGUAAUCACAGGAUCUAUUUGGUUAUAUCUCACAUCUUGACUGCCCUGUAGUUACAACAAGUUAAAAGUCGAGUCAUCCAGAUAAAAUUUCUGUACCACCAUGAAUGGUAUGCACUUGCUUUUACAUAAAAGUUAUCAUUGAAUUUAUUUCUUUCUAAUUUCCAUCUAUUCUCUCUCUGCUAGAACCUUAGGAUAUCUCUAUCUCAAGAAUUUCUUUUAUGCAAAUUAUUCUUGUAUAGGAGGUAAACAUUCCAGCAUAUGGUAAGCUAUGAAUCUACCGGAUUUCCUAAUCUUCGCGCUUGCAGAUGAUGUUGCCAUAAUAUAAUAAAGCAAGUAAUUUGAUAACUAGGAACCAAAUAGUAUCAUCAAGACUGCUUUCCAUUCACUUUUGUUUUGUAGGUGAAUGGGAUGUGGAAUUUAGUUCAAUAAAGGCUACAAGCGGCAGUGAACACCAGCUUUUAUAAUUUGCACCUACUUUUGUGCUGUUUGCCACUUUAUAGUUUUCCAGGCUCCCAACAAUGUAGCAAAGAAGAAAAAAAAGUAAGGCUGCUAUUGCAUUACUAUAGUAGAUCCAACAGUGUCGUAUAUAGAUUUCAUUGGUUCAAUGUGAUUAUUUGCAGUCCUAUCCUA